GCCUGCGUGAUGUCUUGACGCGAAGUGGUAUCAUGGCACCUUCCAAAGAAGGUCGAACCGCCAAGGAGGGCUUGACCUCUUCCCCAGACGGUUCUCGUAGCGCCAACCAAUGAGUGGGUGACGAGGAGGCUUCGACAGGCUUGCGGUUUCCAUACCCGAGGAAAAGAAGGCGGCGUUCCUGGACUGGCAGUUCCGCAAGGCCGAAGAUGGACGAAAGCAGGUUCAGGUGAACAACCAAAAUGUCUUUCCGAGAGAAGCUAUGAGGACACAAGUGACACUGAAAUGGCUGCUCGCCUGUGUGAACCCUCGUGUGCCUUUUUAUACGAAACAAGAGAGCAGUUUCAUACUCACAGGAGUUACAGCGGUGGCGGCAUCCAUGUUGCGACUUCUCACCAUCCUUACUUGCUGGAUGUGUGGACCAUCCCGGCCCUGCACAAAGAAAAUCAGACAGUGUGGUACAUCUGGCCAGUUUCCUGGAAAAACCAUCUCUGAAUUGACCGUUAUAUAAACAUUUCUGAGUUGAACGCCACCAUAGAAGCACUGCCAAAACAUUACGUGACUUAAUGUGGAAUGAGAAAAGCUCACCGAUCAUAGUAAGUCUGACAUGAAUAAAAUUAAUAUUUAAAAUGUACCAUAA